rnacentral:sRNA from 12 species
CCUUUGGAGUGUCAAACAAACUUUAGUAGUAUUAGCAACAAUACAAAAAAGGACACUGUGAAUAAGGAA